rnacentral:rRNA from 1 species
AAAGCGUUAAGUAUUCCACCUGGGGAGUACGCCGGCAACGGUGAAACUCAAAGGAAUUGACGGGGGCCCGCACAAGCGGAGGAACAUGUGGUUUAAUUCGAUGAUACGCGAGGAACCUUACCCGGGCUCAAACGACACAGGAAUACUUUUGAAAGGAGGUAGCCAGCAAUGGUCUGUGUCGAGGUGCUGCAUGGUUGUCGUCAGCUCGUGCCGUGAGGUGUCGGCUUAAGUGCCAUAACGAGCGCAACCCCUAUCGUCAGUUGCCAUCAGGUAAAGCUGGGGACUCUGACGAGACUGCCGGCGCAAGCUGUGAGGAAGGCGGGGAUGACGUCAAAUCAGCACGGCCCUUACGUCCGGGGCGACACACGUGUUACAAUGGCAGGUACAGCGGGAAGCCACCUGGCGACAGGGCGCGGAACCCGAAAACCUGUCUCAGUUCGGAUUGGAGUCUGCAACCCGACUCCAUGAAGCUGGAUUCGCUAGUAAUCGCGCAUCAGCCACGGCGCGGUGAAU